UAUUCGCUCGCAUGAUGCCCUUUAGAGGAAACUUCUUUGUUUUCUUUAUUAAAGCAGUCAUUCAUAGCCCCACGGUGCAAGUUGAUGAUGAAUCUUACAUUAAUUUACAAUUAACCUUCACAUCUCUUUGUAUUACGUCAUCGCAUCGCAUGAAUAACUGGUUAUCUGCUGACAACUUUCUUUGUUCGUGUCAGUACAGUUCUAUUUCACACCUAUUUUGUUAAGACGCAAGAGAGAAGAAAGAAUUUGAAAUGCUAUUAAAGGAGACAAGACCUCUUGAGGUAUUAAACAUGAGAGGCUUAACGACAAACUAAUGGUGGUGGCGACAGGAGCAAAGAGUCAGUCAACCAUGCUGAUACAGAAAAUAUAUUUUUUCUAUGAUCACUUGUGAAUUAAAAUCGAUAAUCCAUCGAAUCCAACAUUUUUCUUUUUAUUUUAUGCUUUUUUUUUCACAGUUUAUAUACAUUGUUAGAGAGUUUAGCUAAAGAAGUUCGCUGGGAUAAUGACGUCUUUUCAUAACAAAAGACAUCAUUUCACAGUAAACAGUGAAAAUUAUCGAUAAUUUUCACUGAUGAUUUUCACUGUAUGAAACAGUGAAAUUAUCAGUUUUAAUUCACCAAUAUAUCUCUAUAAACCACUGGAAAGCAUAAAAUAAAAAGUUAUAAUUCAAUUCAUGCGUCAGCAUGGUUAGAAAAACAUAAAUUAUUUCCUUGACACUUCAGAAAAAUUGCGGCUGAUUGUGUUUUGCAAUUCUUUAACACAAUUUUGUAAUUAUCAGACAUAAUUUGCUGUCAAAUAUCAAAGUUUUGGAUCAUAUUAUUUUCAAGGACUAUCAAGUAAUGUAUACAUCGCGUGAAAUUUGUAUGCAUGUUGUAAUUGUUGCAUUUUUAUUGCAUUUUGCUUAAGAAUUGAUGUUCUAACUGAAAUAAUUCGCUUGCAGAAUAAAUCUGGUUAUUU